UACGAAGGGGGCUAGCGUUGCUCGGAAUGACUGGGCGUAAAGGGCGCGUAGGCGGAUUGUACAGUCAGGCGUGAAAUUCCCGGGCUCAACCUGGGGGCUGCGCUUGAGACGUGCGAUCUUGAGUGGGGAAGAGGGUCGUGGAAUUCCCAGUGUAGAGGUGAAAUUCGUAGAUAUUGGGAAGAACACCGGUGGCGAAGGCGGCGACCUGGUCCUUGACUGACGCUGAGGCGCGAAAGCGUGGGGAGCAAACAGG
rnacentral:rRNA from 1 species